CCCUUAGAUGGUCUGGGCGGCGCGCGCGCUACAAUGAUGCAUUCAAAAAGUCUUCUGACCUUAGAAGGUUGGGUAUUCUCCAAAGUGCAUCGUGAUGGGAAUAGUUUAUUGCAAUUUUUAAUCUUGAACGAGGAAUUCCUAGUAAGUACAGGUCAUCAACUUGUGUUGAUUACGUCCCUGCCCUUUGUACACACCGCCCGUCGCUCCUACUGAUUGAGUGUCUCGGUGAAUUCUUUGAUCUUCUGUCGAUUCAGUUCACUGAUCCGACGGUGGAAAGUUGAAUGAACUUCGUCACUUAGAGGAAGGAGAAGUCGUAACA
rnacentral:rRNA from 1 species